GGGGGCAUAUUCUAGGUUCACAAUGAAAUUUAUAAUAAGAUAAAAAUCCGUUAAAUUUUUAAAUCGUGAGGGUUCAAGUCCCUCUAUCCCCA
rnacentral:tRNA from 1 species